rnacentral:rRNA from 1 species
CGAGGGGCAGCAUGGUCUUAGCUUGCUAAGGCCGAUGGCGACCGGCGCACGGGUGAGUAACACGUAUCCAACCUGCCGUCUACUCUUGGACAGCCUUCUGAAAGGAAGAUUAAUACAAGAUGGCAUCAUGAGUCCGCAUGUUCACAUGAUUAAAGGUAUUCCGGUAGACGAUGGGGAUGCGUUCCAUUAGAUAGUAGGCGGGGUAACGGCCCACCUAGUCUUCGAUGGAUAGGGGUUCUGAGAGGAAGGUCCCCCACAUUGGAACUGAGACACGGUCCAAACUCCUACGGGAGGCAGCAGUGAGGAAUAUUGGUCAAUGGGCGAGAGCCUGAACCAGCCAAGUAGCGUGAAGGAUGACUGCCCUAUGGGUUGUAAACUUCUUUUAUAAAGGAAUAAAGUCGGGUAUGGAUACCCGUUUGCAUGUACUUUAUGAAUAAGGAUCGGCUAACUCCGUGCCAGCAGCCGCGGUAAUACGGAGGAUCCGAGCGUUAUCCGGAUUUAUUGGGUUUAAAGGGAGCGUAGAUGGGUGUUUAAGUCAGUUGUGAAAGUUUGCGGCUCAACCGUAAAAUUGCAGUUGAUACUGGAUAUCUUGAGUGCAGUUGAGGCAGGCGGAAUUCGUGGUGUAGCGGUGAAAUGCUUAGAUAUCACGAAGACUCCGAUUGCGAAGGCAGCCUGCUAAGCUGCAACUGACAUU